GACGAACGCUGGCGGCGUGCUUAACACAUGCAAGUCGAACGGAAAGGCCCUGCUUUCGUGGGGUGCUCGAGUGGCGAACGGGUGAGUAACACGUGAGUAACCUGCCCUUGACUUUGGGAUAACUUCAGGAAACUGGGGCUAAUACCGGAUAGGAGCUCCUGCUGCAUGGUGGGGGUUGGAAAGUUUCGGCGGUUGGGGAUGGACUCGCGGCUUAUCAGCUUGUUGGUGGGGUAGUGGCUUACCUAGGCUUUGACGGGUAGCCGGCCUGAGAGGGUGACCGGCCACAUUGGGACUGAGAUACGGCCCAGACUGCUACGGGAGGCAGCAGGGGGGAAUAUUGCACAGUGGGAGGAAGCCUGAUGCAGCAACGCCGCGUGCGGGAUGACGGCCUUCGGGUUGUAAACCGCUUUCGCCUGUGACGAAGCGUGAGUGACGGUAAUGGGUAAAGAAGCACCGGCUAACUACGUG
rnacentral:rRNA from 1 species